ACUACCUCGACGCCAGAGUGUUUGCCAGUUUUGGGAAGUCAUCCUGCAAACUCGAUGUUUCGGACCUUCUCUCCCCUGGAAGAAUCUUCUGAGAACCAAACUGAGCUGAGGAUUCAAGUUUGUGGUUUGGAUCAUCAUUUUCCCCCAAGGAUUGUCUGGGGCUUCUCUCUGAGCAGGGGAUUAAUUUCCACAAUAACCUGUUCAAGUACCGCAGGAAAUCUAAGUGGCAGUCAGCUUCUCCGUUCACCAAGGAACAACCGCAAUCUGGGUACACCCUGUCUGCCCUCCAUCGAACAAGACAAUCACUGGAACAUCUCACACCGACUGGAUUCAAUAAGAGACACCUUUUUCUGGAAACUUCUGGUUCGACAGUGUUCAGAGCAGCACUGGACUCAUCUCAUCAUUCUAAAUAAACCUGUUAAACUCUUCCCUGGUCUCUCUGUUUGGUCUUCUGCAUGUGGGUCAGAGCACUAGAUAAAAUCAUGACAGUUCAGAGUCUUUGACCCUUCUAAGUUCAUCAGCAAGAAUAUGGUGGAAGUUAGGAAAUAUAUCAGAGGAAUAUCACUUUAUGUUUCAACAUGCGCUUCUUGGAAAAAUUGAUGUGACCAAUGAUUUACUGACUUUUACACUUUGGUGCAGCUUUUUCAAUCAAGUGUGUCUGAUGCUCUCUGAAAGUCAGAGCUGACAGAGCAGCAGCUGUUAGCCCCUCUAAUCAGAAUGACAUGUGGACCAACCUUUCAUUUAUGCAACUUGGAUCACUUUAGCUUUACUUACAAAUAUUUCUGUGAGGAUGGGGAUGUGGGAG